rnacentral:rRNA from 1 species
GACGAACGCUGGCGGCGUGCUUAACACAUGCAAGUCGAACGGAAAGGCCCUGCUUUUGUGGGGUGCUCGAUUGGCGAACGGGUGAGUAACACGUGAGUAACCUGCCCUUGACUUUGGGAUAACUUCAGGAAACUGGGGCUAAUACCGGAUAGGAGCUCCUGCUGCAUGGUGGGGGUUGGAAAGUUUCGGCGGUUGGGGAUGGACUCGCGGCUUAUCAGCUUGUUGGUGAGGUAGUGGCUUACCAAGGCUUUGACGGGUAGCCGGCCUGAGAGGGUGACCGGCCACAUUGGGACUGAGAUACGGCCCAGACGCCUACGGGAGGCAGCAGUGGGGAAUAUUGCACAAUGGGCGGAAGCCUGAUGCAGCAACGCCGCGUGCGGGAUGACGGCCUUCGGGUUGUAAACCGCUUUCGCCUGUGACGAAGCGUGAGUGACGGUAAUGGGUAAAGAAGCACCGGCUAACUACGUG